CGGACGGGUGAGUAACGCGUGGAAAACCUGCCGUAUACUGGGGGAUAACACUUAGAAAUAGGUGCUAAUACCGCAUAAGCGCACAGCUUCGCAUGAAGCGGUGUGAAAAACUCUGGUGGUAUACGAUGGUUCCGCGUCUGAUUAGCUAGUUGGUGGGGUAAUGGCCUACCAAGGCAACGAUGGGUAGCCGGCCUGAGAGGGUGGCCGGCCACACUGGGACUGAGACACGGCCCAGACUCCUACGGGAGGCAGCAG
rnacentral:rRNA from 1 species